UUAUAGAAUGGACAGGCUUUUCUGAGCUAACCUGAGAACCUAACUCCUUUGUAUACCAUUGGAAUUAGAUCUCAACCCGUUUCCCAUGUCCCCCGUAGAAACUAACACAAGGCCUAUUGGGAAGUGGAUUCAGCUGUGCUUUAGAACUGCCUAAAACCCCUUCCAGGGGCGCCCCUCCAUCCCCUUGCCGGACCACCAGCCCAGUAGACCAGGUUGGGGGAGGCAGUCCCCAGCUCACCAGGCAAUCUCUUCCAAAGGGCUCCAGGGGCUUCUAACAUGCAACUAGGGCUGAGAACAGCUGCUAAGAUGAAAAAGGGGGUGGUAGUGGAUUACAGUUUCUCAGUUACCUGUUUUGCGCGGCAACACUGCCCGUGCAACCACCAAGCCAUGCUGGAUGGUGAGUCGUACCCACAGGCUGACUCUCCAGAUGAAGGAAGAAACGUGAGGACCCGCAGAACUUCCCUCGCUAUAGGAGAGGAAAGGAGUUUUGAGGCUAGAGGUUCCCGGAUUGAACCCAGGUCCUCAGCAAUGACGCGCAGAGCCCUAACCACUGGACCGCCAGGGAAUUCCCCAAAGCAGAACUCUAGACAUCAUGCGACAAACCGAAACGUGGGGACCCUCUUCCCAGAGGAAGCUACUGUCAAGAACAACUAGUUUUAAACUCUGCCAUGAAAGGAGCCGUCCCCUCAUUUACCACCCAGCCCCCUCAAAUCCUGUUAACCCUUCCUUCUAUUAAUAUUACUGAUCUGUGCUCUGCUGUUUCCCACCAUUUCUGCCUCAGGCCAAGGAAGUCAGUGCCUGCGUGCUUAGUCGCUGCAGUCAUGUCCGACUCUCUGCGACUCCAUGGACUAUAACCCACCAGGCUCCUCUGAACAUGGGGAUUCUCCAGGCAAGAAUACUGGAGUGGGCUGCCAUGCCCUUUUCUAGGGGAUCUUCUCAACUCAGGGAUCGAAACUGCAUCUCUUUUGUCUCCUGCAUUGCAGGCGGAUUCUUUACCACUGAGCCCCGCAAGAAGCCCAUACCCAUUGCCUAUUGCAAUAACCCUUCACUGUCUGUGAAUCUCUACUUCCUUCCAUGCCUCCCUCCAUUCUCUAUGCUGUCACCAGACUGAUGCUUCCAAAACGGCAGCAAGAACCCUACAGGUGAAAGAAUGCAAGAAACCACUCCAGUUUCCCACAAGUUCUCUGGCUACCAUGUCAGACGCCUCCUGAGCAAACAGCCCAUCAGCGAGUGGCCCCCUUCGCCGGAGCUACUAAGACAGCAGUCACCCGUUCAUCAGCAGCCCCAGCCCAGACCUGCAGAGUCAGAAGGGCUGGAGCACAGCAGUCCUCUUCCCCAGGCACAUCUGAGAAGCCUGAUUCAAUUUGGGAAGACCACCCACCAGGCACUCCACCCCCCCACUCUGAAUCAUCCCAGGAUUUGAUCCACUUUGCAAAGGUGGCUUUCCUUUUCUAAAAAGGCUGCACCCACUGGGGUGUGCACAGGGCUCCUGCGUCAGCGAGGUGGAGACUCUACCUGCAAACAGAUGAGAGGCCUCAGGACUGAGAGGCUGCACAAAGGGACCUUUAAAACCGACAAGGAAAUUAGCUCUUGCUCUGGCCCUAAGGAAGCUGGAUCAGGACUAAAGAUAUCUAGUCAGUUUCUACAAAUAUCUGCUCCUCAGAGAGGCUUAUGGAGCCCCCCAGUACUGCCACCAAUCUCCACCUCCAUCUCUUGAUCCUACUGUAAUUUUCUUUCAUGGCACUUAUCACUUCUGGAAAUUGUAUGGAUAUCUGUUGUCUAUUAAUUAUCAGCCUCCACCGAUAGAAUAUCAGCACAAGGACAGGAAUCUUGCAUUUGGUUCACUUCUAGAGCAGUAGGACUUAGAGUAGACCAGCAUGUAAUAGGGAGUAAUCAGUAUUUGUUGAAUGAAUGAAGGAAUGAAUGCAUGACAGCACACACACUCCAGCAGAGCAAGAACUGGCUCGCUCCGCUCUGUGAGCUCACCUCACGCUGCCUGGUAAGCAGGCAGAGCCUUAAAGUCUCCUUGAAUCAAUGAACAAGGUGCAAGCUUGUUUUUAAACUAUGAGCCCCAACACCUACACAAUACUUCAUCCAGACUGCCCUUUAUCAGGCUGAGCAGUUGCCAGGCUAUUGCUCAGUGCGUGUGUAAAAGGAGCCAAGGGGAUGCUGAAC
ensembl:lncRNA